ACGGAGUCUGGCUCAAUCUCAGCCUAAUGCAACCUCUGCCUCCCAAAUUCAAGCAAUACUCCUGCCUCAGCCUUCCAAGUAGCUGGAACUACAGGUUAUGCACCACCACGCCCGAUUAAGUUUUGGAUUUUUAGUAGAGAUGGGGUUUCACCAUGUUGGUCAGGCUGGUCUCAAACUCCUGACCUCAAGUGGUCCACUUGCCAUGGGCUCCCAAUUACAGGCAUGAGCCACCAUGCCUGGCUGACAUGGUCCUUAUUCUUAAGGCAUGGCUUUCUGAUGUCUUAACUGGAUCUCCAGGUGUUAACAAGGCCUCUACACUCUGACUGAGCAAGAACUCCAGUAUCUUCUAGCACUACUUGACUUCUAGUAUUUUUGCUCCACUCUCAACCUCAUAACAGCCCUUCCUGAACAGUCCUUAGAGGUAAAGUGGACACUUCAUCUGCCUUACCAGUGCCCAUGCACGUCCUCAUCUUCCUUACCAAGAGAACCCAGAACUGGUUCAGAGAUCCAGGCCUCCCACCUCAGACUCAUAAGAAGAGAGCUUCUCUUCCUCCUCUGGACGCUGUCCUGUGUGUAGCACUCAGGACUGCUGAAGACAUCUAGGUAACAGCUUGAAGGUGAAACCAGCACUGAGGUUUCCUGAUUCCUGGGUGGAGCGCAGACUGGAGCCUAAGCCCUGACAGCAUGGGACUUGCAGCUCAAGUAUAUCUGUGCUUCACUGGAAGAGUUGAAAGAGCUGGAGACUGUCUGUGAUCAAUGAGCCCCUGUCACUCUCAUGACACUUUCCUGAACCAUUUCACCAGCACUCAGGCAGAAGAGGAGGACAGCAGGUGAAGUCAGAGAGAUUCAAAGCACAAGGAUUCAACUUUCUGUUGCUGGCCUUGAAGAUGCAGGAGGCCAUGAGCCAAGGAAUGCAAGCAGCCUCUGGAAGUUGAAAACGACCUAAGUGCUCAGUCCUACAGCUGCAUGGAACUGAAAUCUGCCAACACCCUGAGUGAUCCGGAAGUGGAUUUUCUCCCAAAGCCUCCUGAUAGGAGCCCCAGCCAGCUGACAGAUUGACUUCAGCACUAUGACAUCAAAGAGCCCACCCAAGGCUGUUACUGGAAGGAGGGCCUUGAGUGUAAGUUAUUCAGUUUCUUGGCGUUUUGAACAAAGACUUGGACAAAACACACAAAGUAACAAAGGACUGAAACAUAGGAACGAAGUAGGGAAAGCAGGAAUGUAUUAAAGUGAAAAAGGACCCCACAGGGUGGGAGUCGGCCCAAGCAGGUGGCUCAAGGGCCCAGUUGCAAAGUUUUCUGGGUUUUAAGUUCUCCUGUUCAGAUUCCUAUUGGCUACCCUUUAUCUGGAUGAAGAAUUUGGCCUGUGGCUAAUUAAAGGAUGAAGUGAAUUGGUGUCCUAUGCGAUGAAGGGAUGGUCCCUGCUUGGUCCUCGGCCCAUCGAAGGCACUCUCCCUGUCCAUCUGAGACAUUGAGUAGCCUUUGCUCCUUUGCUACUCUGGAGCGGGGAGGUGGGGUUUUUCCUUUUGGUUUAGCUUUAGGAAGUUGGUUUAAUUGGCCUUAGCUUCCCUGACCGUAGACCCAGGUGCUAUCCUUUUGAUUCAGCUUUAGGAAGUCAGCACGAAUUGGCCUCAGAUUCCGUGUCCCCACACCUUGGUGUUUUUCCUGGAUUCAGCACCAAUUGUCCUUAAGUUCCCUGCCUCCAGACCCUUAUUCUCCUUCCUGAAGACAGCUUGAACUUCUGACCCACAGAACUAGGAGCUAAUAAAUGAGUGUAGUUUUAAGCCACCGAGUUUGGCAAUUUGUUACAACAGCUGUCGAAAAUGAAUGUAAUCUACAAAAUAGGAGACUGUCACUUAGGGGAGGGACAGUAAUGCGUUGUGAGCACCUGGAGGGCAGAAACUGGGUGUUAUUUAUUUGGAGGCCUUACAGCCUGAUAUGUAGUAAAUGCUCAAUAAAUAUAAGUGAAUGAAUCAAUGAAUAAAUGUUAAAAGGAUAAGCAAAGGAGC
rnacentral:lncRNA from 1 species